AGAACGCAUGGAAUGGCUGAAAAACUGGCGGCCGCCUUGCGGAAACCCGAAGGCUGUCUUUAUGGAGUGGAGAACCUUUGGCAUGUUCGAAGGCAGAUGACCCUGGUUUACAUUUGCUCGUGUCAAAGGCACUGCAUGCUACAGACAGAGCAGACCGAAACCAACAGAGUGCUUCACAGAUAGUGAUGGAGGGCGAAAAUGCAAAAGAACAACUGCAGCAUCUAAAGGGAAGUUUUCCAAGCACGGGAGAAGGGGCAUACUGGAACGAGAAGAGCCUUCCAGGCUCCUAGCUGGGCGGCUCCAGAUUAUUCACUGGGUAAUCUUCCUCCAGUAAGAAGUGUCCUGAACUGAGAGGCAUCUUUGAUCAACCACUCCUUACCAAAGUGAUCAAAACUGAAACAAGUGGAUCAGAAAUGAACAUUAACUACAGCAGUGCGAUCUAUUGCUCUGACACCUACUUGCCACAGGAGGAAGGUAAGGUCUCUGUUUGUCUCUGCUAAAGGAAUGUGGUAUUUCUAACAUGAGGUUAGAAGGCUGCAGUGACAGGAGCUGGGGCAUGCCCAGGUCCUGCGGUGAGAAGCUGUGCUUCAGUGAGGGCACUCCAUAGCCCAUCGCUCUUCACUAACAGAAUGACUUGGUUCCAUCAAUCUGAUUUACAGGAGAGGGAACUGAUGUGGAGAAAUGAGCAGUGCCAUUGGGAGCGUGUGUUUUUAAGUGAUAGAUCACCGAGUGACUUCAUGUAGACCAAUGUUACUCAAUACUGUCCCAUUUGAUUGUGUUCUGAGAUACGUAGGUUGCAAUGUUUUCUUGAACUGCUGAUUCUGCUUUAGCCAUCUUCCAUGUUGACAGUGUCCGUGUCCAUGUUGGGCUCACUGCAGUCCCUGAUUUGCUAGAGAAGUAGUUGCCAUGGCUCAGCGCUGUGCCAGACGGGGCCCCCGCCGCUCUGAGGAAUUUGUGUCAGAUAGAACAUUUCGUACAAUGCAGAAGGUUCUGUCACCUUGAUUCGAAGGAAGUUGUUUGUGUUAAUGCUUAAAGGUAACGUGAGACAAGGCGAGCUCUUUACUUUGGAACACGCGCUGAGCCAUUGAUGUACGCAGUACAGUAAAUAUAACAAAGAGCGCACUGUGGUAUUUACACCCACCGCAAACACGUUUGCAAAAUAGGAUUAUUUACAAUCCAAUGAAAUAGUACUGCUUUUAAGGCAGAAACCCUGUGUGUUCAGUGAAGUGUCCUCCUCAGCUUUUCUUGCCGUUUAUCGACCCAACACAUUCCUCCCCAUUUUUUUUUUAAUGCCUUCCAUUAAUAGUUAAGAAAAACCUAGGGAAAACAAACACUCUUUUCCUGAUUGUUUAUUCACCAGUCUCUUAGGAACCAUAAUUACGUCUCCCAGGAAUUGUGUGUUUUAUCAUACUGUAUAUCUUAAAGAGCCACUUUAGGUAAAAUAACAAGGAGUGCCUUAUGAAGGAAAAUUGGAUUCGUUUUAAGACUUUUUUAACCCUCCAAAGAAUGGCUCUUUGUUUACUUCUUUAGUGCAUGUGGCAACUUGCCCAAGUAAAUACUAUGCUGCAUAAAUACCAGAGAUUGGUAUUUAUGAUAUUACAUAAACAUACUCUGAAUAAUGACUCAUUGUUGCGAUGAAGACGAACGCAAGCAAUAUACAUCGCAGUCAGUGCGUUAUUUCUUGUCACUUUAUUAAGUGACACUGAGCAUUGUAGGACAAAAUGACAGUGAUUGGAGAGGAGAAGUCUGACUGCAUUAUUUACCAGAUCUGAGUUUACAAAACAAAAGAGAAAACAGCCGAAACAGGAAGGUUAUGAGGAUAACAUAGCUGACUAAUUAUCAAUAUGCAGGAUAAGUAGUUAGGUGCAUGCUGGGGUUGAAUGGAAAAAGAUUUAUUGCUCUUUGAAUUGAAAACUCAUGCAGUGCAUUUAUUCCACUGUCCCAACAGGCAGCUGAGCCCUCAGGUUCAUCAUCCUACCUGUGGUGAUGCUCAUGUCCACUUGUGACAAUAGUUAUUUCCCUUAUGGAGCCGCUCUUUUGGUGGCUUUGUUUCUCAGAGCCUCGGUCUGUCCAGUUAGAGUUUUGUUACACCUUUACUGCACUCCAGAAAAAUCAUGUGAGGGUUUGUGUGAAGGGAAAAUGUGGCACAUUUUGCGGUGCUGCCAAGUGAUGGAACUCAGAUCUGAGAAAUCAAAAUCCCAAAGGGAAGGUGCAUAUGCCAAAACCUCUAUUUAAAGCCAGCAGGGUGUUACUAACUUAUUUAUUUUUAAAGCCCAUGGUUAUAGCCUAUAUGCUGCUGUCCAAACAGCGAAAACAACGGACACUCAAAUUCUCAAAGGAUCACUGAACCAUCCCUUUAAAAAUGAUGAUGAAAAUUAUCACCCAUAGUAAUGGACUAGCCUGAAAAAUGUGAUUUUUUGGAAAUGUUACUCUUUCCCUGAAGCAGCCCUUCAGAAACAGCAGAGAAAUCUUCAAAGUGGGAGGGUGAUCCUCAUAAUAUCCAUGAGGAGUGGGAUGCUCAGCUGUGGGAGCACUCUCCUCCAUGACUGCAGGCCUGCAUGCUGUGGUUGAGGUGACGCUUUUGGUGUUUGAUGGGGUUUAUCACCAGCAGAAGAAAUUUGCUCCUAGGUGUGAAUAAAGGAGUACCUAUAUUUUCCUAAGUGAACAUCUUUCACGCUUGCGUGCUCAAGAAGAUAGCAGUGGAUGGGGCCAACCUCUGCAAAGCGCCUGGGCUUAUGGAAACCACUGCUUUACUGCAUGGUCAGUAGCUGUUUAUUGUGGUUAUUACACUGUGCCUUUUUCCUUUGAUUUUAACUAUUUCCUUCCUGGUUUUACUUCUUUAGUCAAAACCCACUCUGUGUAAGGAGAACUGUGUUUUGAUGUACUCGGGUGCCAUGUGCUGUUCCAUCCCAUGUGCAAGGUUGAACUGAACAAAUGUUGACUUUUCUCCCUUGUGCUUCACAUACUUUUUACAGGUUAGGAGGGAACACAGGGGACAGGAGAACAGAAGUCUGCUGGUCUGCAAAGACCAACGAUGUCACCUGGUCCAGAAUACAGCAAGCUCAGCUAGCUCUACCAGCAAGCUUAGGAAUGACAGUGAUGAUCUGUGUGCCAUCCUGGAUAACACAAAAUUUGUGCCUAAAACCCUAAUAGACAACACCUCAAAAGACUGCAUGUCCAAGUAGAAAGGAGCGAGAUACCUCCCAUGUAUGUCCUUAUUUUCCCAGAAGAAAACAGAGUUGUAAUGUAUAUUAGCAAAGUUGAGAGGACAGGAACUGCGGUCAAACAUCAAAUUCAGCCACAAUUCUAUUUCUUCUUCAUACUAUUAUUAAAUCACUUUGCCCAAAGCCUCCACAUCUGUUGUGCUUGGUGCUCUUCAAACACAGGAUAUCAUGCUUAGGCAUCACUCCUUUAUUUGGAUUUGAAGCCAUGCCUCACCGCUGUUUGUGUCAAAACAGUUACCUGUGCCAGGCGGCCUUAAUCUGUAUUCUUACCUCACAUUGUCUGGGGUCUGCUGCUCUGUCUUUCUGGGAGCCUGCGAUAUAAGAUGACAAAUUCUGGACAGCACUGAGGCCAGAUAACAUGCAAGCCCCAUCCCAGCCCCACAGAAGUCAGUGGGAAAGCUAGAUGGACAGCUGUGGUUUUGACUCAGGCCCAGAGAUACUGGAAAAUAACAAAGAGGACAGAAGGAAAGAGCUUGGUCAGCUUUCAGGGUUAUUCCUCAUUUCUUUUAAAAAGAAUAAAUACAUGUUUUUUGUUAUGGCUUUCUCAGAAUAAGCUUGGUGCUGUCAGCUAGCCAUGUCUCAGCAAUGUGCUUGCAUGAUGAAGGCAAAGCAAUUCUGAGCUUACAGGCUUAACAUCCUUUUUCGGUACAGUUCAUUGUAAAGAAACCUGAGUAAUGCAUCUUCCCUCUGAAAUGCUUGUCUGCUUUGCAUAGAGAGCAUUCACACACUUUGCAUAAGCCUGAGGAUCACACUGACAAAGAAUGAUAGCACUGCUUAAGUAGUUAAUUUGGUUAUUUAUUCAUUUAAGUGUAUGUGAAUCAAGACAUUUUUUCUGUGAUCUGAAGUGACUGCCAAACCUCUGAUUAGUUUGUAGCUUUUACUGUGUCGUUUCAUUCUUUUGUUACAUAGGAUGGAUGCAGACUUAAUUCCACUGGCAAACACUUUGAAAAGGGCAGCCUCUGUAACACCUCCCAAAGAAGAAAAGACAGAGACAGACUGCAUGUCAUUCCUUCAUUCCUGCCUGCCCAUAUCAGCACUCACCGUGUCUGGAGAAAUGCACAAGAAUCACACAGUUCUAGGCAAAAAAUGCAUUUAUGUGAGCACUUGUUCUUCUGUGCAGAACAAAGUACAUCUGCCCUGCAGCUAUCCUGAGGGGUCAGUGACCCAGCAGCGAGGCACGCUGUGCCAGCACCAGAGAGUCACCAGAGGAGCUGUGAACUGCCCCAGAAAGAAAGCGGUGGUGCAAGGUACUGUUGGUAAGGAGAUGGCACUCAGGCUGGGAAGCAUGCAUGUUUGAAACUUGGCCCAAAUAUGCUCCUUUACCUGAACACAUGGGAACUACAUCCUUCUCGUCCUCUGUUUCAGGAGUUGAAAAGCAGGAGUGUCCCCUGUCCUGCCAUCCUCUGCCUGGGGACAAAGCAGGUCUGAGGAGACACUGGUCAGCAUUCAGGUUUUGUACAUGGCUUCAUGCAGUACAAACACGUCCAUGUUCAUUUCUACCCUGUUCAAGCUGGUGUCUCCAUCCCACAGUGUGGGGCCUGCCUUGAUCCCUGCAGGCUGCUGGGUUCAGUUACAUCUCUGCAGUCUCUUUUCUCUUUGUCACAUCCUUUACUUUCAGCCAAGUAUCUACCUGCAUGUAGGGUCAAGGGGUCUUAGAAUACGGGUGAAAGCAAAAUGAACAAGAUAAGUUCCAUGAGGAAGGACAGGCUGGUAACCAUGUUGUCUGUUUGUAAAUAGACAGCUUUUCUUGGCAUUGCUUCUAACUGCUGGGUUAUGGUAGGGUUGUGCUCUUGAAUUUCUACAUAGAAAUAAGGUAAAAAAUACUACUUUUUCACCUGAUGCAGAUGUCUGUGAAGUUACCUUUGUGUUUUAGCACAAGACCAGGUAAAGGUAUGUGGUUUUAUACCUUUAUACUCCAUAGAAGCUUCUGUUGCUCUGCACCACUCAGGACUUGGCCAGUCCCUAUGCUGCAGCUCACCUGUCCAACUUCAAUCCUUGGUUAGCAACUUCAUAGAGAGGAUCUGAAGAAAAGCUCAGUGGAAAAGGUGCACAUAAUCUCCAUAAGAGAUUCUGUCACAGUUGGAUAAUAAAAUACAAAACUGACCAGGAUUCCCCCAUUGUGAUGUACAGGUGUUAGUGGUGAAAGUACCAGCUCCUCCAAGCUUUCAGCUGCACUCAGUAGUUAGGUGCUGCGUCAUGCAGUGCUGCAUUGUAUCAGUGGAUCUAGAGAUAACAUAUUCAGUGUUUGUGUGUAUCCCACAGAGCGUUUCUGUAAGGUAAGUUUGUCUUAGGAAAAAACAAAAGAUGCCAGUGGCCUUGUCAGAUAUCUCUGAGUGAAUCACCAUCACUUAUGCUCACUGGAGGUGACUGAUCAUUUUUUUCUCUGCAAAUGCUUUAAAUUCAGUCUGUGGUCUGAAGAAAAGAGAAUGUUUUUUCAUUCAUUUGCAUCAAUGUGCUAAUGCAGGUUUUGCAAUCGGAUUUUAUCUGUCAAGAUGAUUAAUUGUAUUGCUGCAUGAGAGCAAGGGGAACUCAGAUCCAUCUCCUGUCACUGUGUUUGAAUCUCCACGUAGUAAAAACUUUUUUAGAAUUUUUUAAUCUUGGCUUUUGUCAAGCAUGCAGUUUUGUCUUGAAACUAGAUCUGUUGAUUGAAUUCCAUUUAUCAGCCACUUUAUUUUUAUAAGAAAACUGAGAUCAGCUUCACAGAUUAUAAGAGCCAGAGUCGUGUAAGGGACUGGAAGUGCGAUAGCCGUUCUCCUACAGCCACAAGCAUCCAGCUGCUAUUAUUUAUGCACCAUCGACAGUGGGACAUGCUCAGACUUGAAGGACUGGUGCUGACCUUCCCUUGCUAAUCAUUUAUACACUCCUUGUUUUGAGCGCUCCACCUUAAGGUUUCUCAUGACUCACUUUCUCUCUGGAGUGAACAAAUAAAUCCUGAAGGACUCUGCAUGCUUCCAAGUGUGUAACCUGUCCCCUUCUACUGGUCCUGUUUUCAGCAACAAAAGCUCUUGAAGUAGCAGUGCUAUUUAUUAAGGUGUGAUCUCGGAGCCGUAGGACUUUGAGAGCUGAGAGAAUGGUGGCUUCAGCUUGGCUUAGGCUUAUCCUAAAAUAUCAAUCCAUGGCUUUUGUGCAUGCCAUGAGUGAGGAAUAAAACUCCUCUGCAGUCUCUGGAGGCAGGAAAAUUGGGCUGAGAAUCAUAGAAUGGCUGGAGUUGGAAGCACGUACAGUUCUCUCUCCAAAAAGGGGAGCAGCAAUUCAUGUCGUCUUCAGGAACUUCUGUAAGGCUUUAGACAUGGCCCACAUAAUGUCCUUGUCUCUGUAUUGGAGACAGGGGUUUGAAUGGACUGUUUUGUGGAAAAGGAAUUGACUGGAUGGCCACAUCCGGGGAGCUGUGGUCAGUGGCUCAGUGUCCAGGAGAUCUGUGAUGAAUUACGUGCCUCAGGAGACACAGCUGUUAGAGCAGGUCCAAAGGAGGGACACAGAAAUGAGAAGAGGGCUGGAGCCUUUCGCUUUCAGAUAUCCUUUAAUUGAAGGGAAUGGCAAAUUGAGGCCUAUUUCUGGGUUGUUCAGAACAAAAGACUUGAUACUGGACAUUCAAAUGCUGAGGGUGCUGCUGAUAAUCCUUGUUGUUCUCUCUGUAUUGAUGGGUCCAUCUGGGAGGCAGGUUUGACAUUACCCCCUUUACUUUGCACUGCUUCCGUAAGUGGUAACUGUACUUAAGCAGCAAUUGUAGUUGCAUUUAAGUUGCAAAUAGUAUGACUGUAUUAUGGAAUAUAGGAAUAAUGAAAAAACACCGAGAUUGUCACUAAUUAGAUGUGCAGUUCAUGAGCAGAGUGUUGAGCUUUGAGGAGCAGGCAGGGCUGAGAGAGCAAUAAGAGGGUACAAGAAAAUACCACUUUCUCUUUGUCCCUCCCUUGUGUACCUCUUCCCUAAGAGGAGCUGCAGAGCAGUGGAGUGGGUGAGAAGGACAUCCCAGCUGGAAGAUCUGCUGAGAGCUUUGAGGAGCUUGUCUGUGGGGUCAGGGUUGGCUUGGCCAUGGGGUCAGAGGUGGAGGGGAGGGAGGAACAUGCUUUGGCUUAUGUUCCAGACUGUGGGGCUGGAUUAGGUGCACGCACUUGGGAUGGGCUAAUGAGAAUGAAGUCAUGUCAGACUGUCAUUGUGAAGGAGAGAGGCUUGAUCUGCUGUGCCAUGAGUGCUGCUCCCCUCAUGGUACAUGGGCACAUCUGACAGGACAGAGCUUACCACAGCGCUCACAGGGGAGCGAUGUUAGGCGCUAUGGGUUGGUCCAGCAUGAGUAACUCAAACUGCAGGGGUGUGAUGCAGAGAAGGAUGUGGUUCUUUUAAUUCCUUCCCCUUGUCCCAUUGUUUCCUUCCCAGGCGCACGCAAAAUCUUCCUCUGCCUCUCCCUCCCAGCCCAGCUUUUCUCUUCUCUUUGGUUGUCCUUUUGUCCUUUCCCUCCUGUAGAGCCAAGCUCAACAGCGUAUACCCACACCCAACAGAAAGGGACUUCUUUUGGCAAUUUCUCCGUAUCUGGGACCCAUAUGUCAAGCAAAACAAUUGUAAAUGGGCUCAGUUGGCACUCCUUUGGCACGGGAUAGCAGAAAGCACGAGCAGGAGUGGGUUCUUCAGAAAAGCUUGGAUUUCACAGCUGUGCCCAUGAGCGGUGCUGGGGGAUUGUACGACCUCAGAGAGCCUGGUCCCACUGCAGCGGGAGCCCAGGUCUUGACUCCUUCACUGCAGACAGGAGGUUGCGAAGGUCGGGCUGUGAGCAAACAGGUGCCUCCUGUGCCCGGGACGUGGAGGACAUGACCUGCCCUGCCAUUAGCUGUUAAGUCAUGCUCCCCCUGGCUUCAGAGGAUGCGUUACGUCUGUGUGAAGCACCACACAAGGUCAGUGUUAGAUUGCCUCACAUCACCAAAACACAAAUUCAUGUAUUUGUCCUAAAGCGAGGCUGGUGCAACAGGACAAAAUGGAAUAAUGUAACAGCUGGGAGCCAGGGUGUGCUGCAAGGUCAGAGGAGAAAUACCCUGGCAGCCCUAUGGGAAAGCAAUGGUGAACUCUACUGCCAGAUUAAUCAGGCUUUGUUUUUUGCCACAGUCACAAUGUCAAAGCUUUUCUCUGCAUGCUGAAGAUGCCACGUCUGGCACUGGGAGUUGCAGUGUGGUGGAGCUACAUCUUCUAAUGGAAGUUCCCAGGCUGUGUGCCAGGAC